rnacentral:piRNA from 6 species
UCUGGACUCUGAAUCCAGCGAUCCG